GGUUAAGUUAGAAAGGGCGCACGGUGGAUGCCUUGGCACUAGGAGCCGAUGAAGGACGGGACGAACACCGAUAUGCUUCGGGGAGCUGUAAGCAAGCUUUGAUCCGGAGAUUUCCGAAUGGGGAAACCCACCACUCGUAAUGGAGUGGUAUCCAUAUCUGAAUACAUAGGAUAUGAGAAGGCAGACCCGGGGAACUGAAACAUCUAAGUACCCGGAGGAAGAGAAAGCAAAUGCGAUUCCCUGAGUAGCGGCGAGCGAAACGGGACCAGCCCAAACCAAGAGGCUUGCCUCUUGGGGUUGUAGGACACUCUGUACGGAGUUACAAAGGAACGAGGUAGAUGAAGAGGUCUGGAAAGGCCCGCCAUAGAAGGUAACAGCCCUGUAGUCAAAACUUCGUUCUCUCCUGAGUGGAUCCUGAGUACGGCGGAACACGUGAAAUUCCGUCGGAAUCCGGGAGGACCAUCUCCCAAGGCUAAAUACUCCCUAGUGACCGAUAGUGAACCAGUACCGUGAGGGAAAGGUGAAAAGCACCCCGGAAGGGGAGUGAAAGAGAUCCUGAAACCGUGUGCCUACAAGUAGUCAGAGCCCGUUAACGGGUGAUGGCGUGCCUUUUGUAGAAUGAACCGGCGAGUUACGAUCCCGUGCAAGGUUAAGCAGAAGAUGCGGAGCCGCAGCGAAAGCGAGUCUGAAUAGGGCGAAUUGAGUACGUGGUCGUAGACCCGAAACCAGGUGAUCUACCCAUGUCCAGGGUGAAGUUCAGGUAACACUGAAUGGAGGCCCGAACCCACGCACGUUGAAAAGUGCGGGGAUGAGGUGUGGGUAGGGGUGAAAUGCCAAUCGAACCUGGAGAUAGCUGGUUCUCUCCGAAAUAGCUUUAGGGCUAGCCUCAAGGUAAGAGUCUCGGAGGUAGAGCACUGAUUGGACUAGGGGCCCCUACCGGGUUACCGAAUUCAGUCAAACUCCGAAUGCCGAUGACUUAUCCUUGGGAGUCAGACUGCGAGUGAUAAGAUCCGUAGUCGAAAGGGAAACAGCCCAGACCGCCAGCUAAGGUCCCAAAGUAUACGUUAAGUGGAAAAGGAUGUGGAGUUGCUUAGACAACCAGGAUGUUGGCUUAGAAGCAGCCACCAUUUAAAGAGUGCGUAAUAGCUCACUGGUCGAGUGACUCUGCGCCGAAAAUGUACCGGGGCUAAACGUAUCACCGAAGCUGCGGACUGUUCUUCGAACAGUGGUAGGAGAGCGUUCUAAGGGCUGUGAAGCAAGACCGGAAGGACUUGUGGAGCGCUUAGAAGUGAGAAUGCCGGUAUGAGUAGCGAAAGAGGGGUGAGAAUCCCCUCCACCGAAUGCCUAAGGUUUCCUGAGGAAGGCUCGUCCGCUCAGGGUUAGUCGGGACCUAAGCCGAGGCCGAAAGGCGUAGGCGAUGGACAACAGGUUGAUAUUCCUGUACCACCUCCUCACCAUUUGAGCAAUGGGGGGACGCAGGAGGAUAGGGUAAGCGCGGUAUUGGAUAUCCGCGUCCAAGCAGUUAGGCUGGGAAAUAGGCAAAUCCGUUUCCCGUGAAGGCUGAGCUGUGAUGGCGAGCGAAUUAUAGUAGCGAAGUUCCUGAUUCCACACUGCCAAGAAAAGCCUCUAGCGAGGUGAGAGGUGCCCGUACCGCAAACCGACACAGGUAGGCGAGGAGAGAAUCCUAAGGUGAUCGAGAGAACUCUCGUUAAGGAACUCGGCAAAAUGACCCCGUAACUUCGGGAGAAGGGGUGCUCUGUUAGGGUGCAAGCCCGAGAGAGCCGCAGUGAAUAGGCCCAGGCGACUGUUUAGCAAAAACACAGGUCUCUGCGAAGCCGUAAGGCGAAGUAUAGGGGCUGACGCCUGCCCGGUGCUGGAAGGUUAAGAGGAGCGCUUAGCGUAAGCGAAGGUGCGAAUUGAAGCCCCAGUAAACGGCGGCCGUAACUAUAACGGUCCUAAGGUAGCGAAAUUCCUUGUCGGGUAAGUUCCGACCCGCACGAAAGGCGCAACGAUCUGGGCACUGUCUCAACGAGAGACUCGGUGAAAUUAUAGUACCUGUGAAGAUGCAGGUUACCCGCGACAGGACGGAAAGACCCCGUGGAGCUUUACUGCAGCCUGAUAUUGAAUGUUGGUACAGCUUGUACAGGAUAGGUAGGAGCCUUGGAAACCGGAGCGCCAGCUUCGGUGGAGGCAUCGGUGGGAUACUACCCUGGCUGUAUUGACCUUCUAACCCGCCGCCCUUAUCGGGCAGGGAGACAGUGUCAGGUGGGCAGUUUGACUGGGGCGGUCGCCUCCUAAAAGGUAACGGAGGCGCCCAAAGGUUCCCUCAGAAUGGUUGGAAAUCAUUCGCAGAGUGUAAAGGCACAAGGGAGCUUGACUGCGAGACCUACAAGUCGAGCAGGGACGAAAGUCGGGCUUAGUGAUCCGGUGGUUCCGCAUGGAAGGGCCAUCGCUCAACGGAUAAAAGCUACCCCGGGGAUAACAGGCUUAUCUCCCCCAAGAGUCCACAUCGACGGGGAGGUUUGGCACCUCGAUGUCGGCUCAUCGCAUCCUGGGGCUGUAGUCGGUCCCAAGGGUUGGGCUGUUCGCCCAUUAAAGCGGUACGCGAGCUGGGUUCAGAACGUCGUGAGACAGUUCGGUCCCUAUCCGUCGCGGGCGCAGGAAAUUUGAGAGGAGCUGUCCUUAGUACGAGAGGACCGGGAUGGACGCACCGCUGGUGUACCAGUUGUUCUGCCAAGGGCAUCGCUGGGUAGCUAUGUGCGGACGGGAUAAGUGCUGAAAGCAUCUAAGCAUGAAGCCCCCCUCAAGAUGAGAUUUCCCAUUCCGCAAGGAAGUAAGAUCCCUGAAAGAUGAUCAGGUUGAUAGGUCUGAGGUGGAAGUGUGGCGACACAUGGAGCUGACAGAUACUAAUCGAUCGAGGACUUAACCAA
rnacentral:rRNA from 1 species